AGUNCGAACGGUAGCAKGCCUUCGGGCGCUGCGAGUGGCGGACCGGGUGAGUAACGCGUAGGAAUCUGCCUGRUAGUGGGGGACAACKURGGGAAACUYAMGCUAAUACCGCAUACGWYCCCUAUUGAAAGAUGGGGRGGAAAGCGGGGGCUCUUCGGACCUCGCGCUAUCAGAUGAGCCUGCGUUAGAUWAGCUAGUUGGURGGGUAAAGGCCUACCAAGGCGACGAUCUAUAGCUGGUCUGAGAGGACGAUCAGCCACACUGGGACUGAGACACGGCCCAGACUCCUACGGGAGGCAGCAGUGGGGAAUAUUGGACAAUGGGCGCAAGCCUGAUCCAGCAAUACCGCGUGUGUGAAGAAGGCCCUMGGGUUGUAAAGCACUUUCAACGGGGAGGAAAACCUGCCGGCCAAUACCCGGCRGCUUGACAUUACCUGUAGAAGAAGCACCGGCUAACUCCGUGCCAGCAGCCGCGGUAAUACGGAGGGUGCGAGCGUUAAUCGGAAUUACUGGGCGUAAAGCGUGCGUAGGCGGUGAUUAAGUCAGAUGUG
rnacentral:rRNA from 1 species